rnacentral:rRNA from 1 species
AGAGUUUGAUCCUGGCUCAGGAUGAUUUCUAGCUACAGGCUUAACACAUGCAAGUCGAGGGGCAGCAUGAACUUAGCUUGCUAAGUUUGAUGGCGACCGGCGCACGGGUGAGUAACACGUAUCCAACCUGCCGAUGACUCGGGGAUAGCCUUUCGAAAGAAAGAUUAAUACCCGAUGGCAUAGUUCUUCCGCAUGGUAGAACUAUUAAAGAAUUUCGGUCAUCGAUGGGGAUGCGUUCCAUUAGGUUGUUGGCGGGGUAACGGCCCACCAAGCCUUCGAUGGAUAGGGGUUCUGAGAGGAAGGUCCCCCACAUUGGAACUGAGACACGGUCCAAACUCCUAUGGGAGGCAGCAGUGAGGAAUAUUGGUCAAUGGACGAGAGUCUGGACCAGCCAAGUAGCGUGAAGGAUGACUGCCCUAUGGGUUGUAAACUUCUUUUAUACGGGAAUAAAGUUAGCCACGUGUGGCUUUUUGUAUGUACCGUAUGAGUAAGGAUCGGCUAACUCCGUGCCAGCAGCCGCGGUAAUACGGAGGAUCCGAGCGUUAUCCGGAUUUAUUGGGUUUAAAGGGAGCGUAGGCGGGUUGUUAAGUCAGUUGUGAAAGUUUGCGGCUCAACCGUAAAAUUGCAGUUGAUACUGGCGACCUUGAGUGCAACAGAGGUAGGCGGAAUUCGUGGUGUAGCGGUGAAAUGCUUAGAUAUCACGAAGAACUCCGAUUGCGAAGGCAGCUUACUGGAUUGUAACUGACGCUGAUGCUCGAAAGUGUGGGUAUCAAACAGGAUUAGAUACCCUGGUAGUCCACACAGUAAACGAUGAAUACUCGCUGUCGGCGAUAUACAGUCAGCGGCCAAGCGAAAGCAUUAAGUAUUCCACCUGGGGAGUACGCCGGCAACGGUGAAACUCAAAGGAAUUGACGGGGGCCCGCACAAGCGGAGGAACAUGUGGUUUAAUUCGAUGAUACGCGAGGAACCUUACCCGGGCUUAAAUUGCAACUGACUGAACCGGAAACGGUUCUUUCUUCGGACAGUUGUGAAGGUGCUGCAUGGUUGUCGUCAGCUCGUGCCGUGAGGUGUCGGCUUAAGUGCCAUAACGAGCGCAACCCUUAUCGAUAGUUACUAGCAGGUCAUGCUGAGGACUCUAUUGAGACUGCCGUCGUAAGAUGUGAGGAAGGUGGGGAUGACGUCAAAUCAGCACGGCCCUUACGUCCGGGGCUACACACGUGUUACAAUGGGGGGUACAGAAGGCAGCUACACGGCGACGUGGUGCUAAUCCCGAAAGCCUCUCUCAGUUCGGAUUGGAGUCUGCAACCCGACUCCAUGAAGCUGGAUUCGCUAGUAAUCGCGCAUCAGCCACGGCGCGGUGAAUACGUUCCCGGGCCUUGCACACACCGCCCGUCA